UUAGUGUGGAAGUGUGAGGGGGCCUAAGAAUGAGCAGUGAUGGGCUUCAGCCCAGCAAAACACACCUUACCUUGACCCACGGUGCCCAGGCUCAAGAAUAAUAAAGAGCAGUAAUGAACAUUAUGCACAAACUCAAGGGGCAGAAGGCUGUGCUUGCCCUGGAGUAGAAGGAGCAGUUUUUCAGUGAAGCAGCAGCUUCAUCCAGUUUCAGAUUUACAGACAAUGACUCGUUAAAGACCACAAAAAGGUGUGAAAGGAGAAGACUAAAAACCACAAAGCAGACCUUGGAGCAAAACUUACUUUCACUUUUAAGGCAAGUUCCAAACCAGGCUCAACAUUAGACAAAUGCUGCUCACUCCUUGCUCUGAAGGGUCUGGUUUGCUUUUAAAAUAUGUACACUCUGAGCAAUUUAAAAAAAAAAGAUUAUUUUGAGUAUCUUUUCUUGUUCAUCUCUGGUGAACAGGUGAAGGGCCCACUUUGUUUACAGGUGAAGUCAGAAGAGAGCAGACCAAACCCAGGAGACAUGUGGCUCCUCUGCUAUUUGGCAUCUCCUAUGCUCCAGCCCGGCAGAGAACACACACACCUUGAGCCGGUGAAAAUCUUACUCAGAUGGUCCAACAGUCUUACACCUCACACAAAAUUUAGAAGAAUGUACAUUCAUGCCAGACAGAAAACAAGAGAUACUUCAAAGUGUUCAUUAAUUUAUCACUUAAUAUAAAUGCUGACAGCAAAGCAAGUAAGACCUUGUAUUUCAUCUAUUUACAAACCACAUAGUGAAUCACUUUUCCACUUUUAUUUUUUUGUUCAAUCUGCAGCUCAAAGGACCCUCAGACAUUCUGUGAGAGCAAGGUGGAGUCAGGGAGAAAGAUGGAGAAAAGCAAGAUGAACAGGGAAGAAGAAAUAGCAUUUCAACUUUUUUUUUUUUCUAUGUAACUGCCAUGCAUGUACAGUAGGUCUCCACUCCCUUGUUCUUUCACACAAAAGCGACACUGUUGGUUCAGUAGGUCUGAGAAUUAAAUAAAGACCAACACUGAUUUUCAAAUCUCUGGAUUCUCUUGCGUUUUGCCUCCUUCAAUGCAUUCUGUCCCACUUCAGCAGAAUACCUAGAAGGUUUUUCUUUCAAGUCUAAAAAGUACAUUGUAGGAGUAAAGACACAGGGAGCUGGAUAUAGAGAACUUUCUUCUACUCCUUUUGUUAUCUCAGUUUUCCCAAGAGGUAGCAAAGCACCUAACCUCUCCUGGAAAAGACAUAGCAAUUCCCCAUGUACCUCUGAACAUCUCACCCAUGACCAGGCCAGUAUGUACAAAACUUCAUAAUUCCUCUGAACUUGAAAGAAUUCAAUUUAUGGAAUUCUUCCCAUACAUUCUACUUCAUCUCUACUCCUAUUGUGAAUGUUUUGAUAGUUACAAUAAAUAUCCACAUUAUCGACCCAGAGCCAGCCACUCCCAUGAAGGACUGAGAAUUUUUGUAUAUGGGAAAGAGAAAUAGGAAAGGAAGAAAUCAGCAGAAGAAGAAAAGCAAGGAAAAACACAAGGAGAGAAUGAAUGACAUUUUGUAUAGCACUGAUCAAUGAAAACAGCAGAUGGAAUUUCACUUUACCAGGAUCCUAUAUAAAUUUAAGAAAUAGUUCAUAACCUGACUCAACAAAUUUCAUGGUCUUCUUUAUUACCUAGACUAUCCUUUAUUUUAUUUUCUGUUAAAUAUACCUCUGCAGGGCACAAUCACAUACAAUCAAUACGAUUGGAUAAUUACAUGAGCUCUAUCCCAAGCAUAUAUGCACCAAUGUUAAAAAGUUAUUUAAAAAACCAAACCAAACAAACAACCCAAAAAAUUAAAAUAAACUCCACCCAAAAAGGUGAUAAUGACUGCAGAAUGUCUCGGGGAGACUUGUAAGGAACUAACAAGAUCAAAGAAAAUUAGACUUACAAAAACCACAAAAAAAAAAUCAUAUAUCGAGAAAUCCCACAACUGGAAGUAGAUGAUUUCAAAGAAGUGGGAACUGUCAUACAGAUCCCACAAUUCUUCCUCCCUCCUCUCACACAUGUCUUGCUUCACCUCUUCCUCCCCAUAGCAACAAAUACAAGGAGGGGAAGAGCUUAACAUGACACUACCAGUUAGAGAAAAUAUGGAACAAUAGCCAAGCUACAGAGCAGCUGCUAAGCUGACUUGAAGGAAAGAUCCUUUUAGCAUGGAAGCUGCUUACACAGCAAGCAGAGGUUGAAGGGGGAAUGGGAACUCCUUAAAAUUAGGGGAAACCCUAAAAGUGAUUUGUUUUGCCCAUGUUGAUCAGCUUCACUGAGGAGAGGCUGCAGAUGAACAGUACCAAUUGUGAGCUGUGCAGCAGCUGUGAUGUGAACGGGAUUGCUGCUUCCUCUCAGGUUGCUUCGUGCAUUUAUUAAAGGCUGCUGCCAAAUUUCUUUUUAAAAAGCUACAAAUAAAGAGCUCAGUGCACACAUCCAGUUGUGGGAUCCAUCCGAUAUACAAUCUGGUUUGGAUGCCAAAGACUUGUGAGUACUGUCUGCCACAGAACUAAUAAUGAAAUCUUUUUAACAUUAUGAAGAAGCAAAUAAUUUCUCGAGCAUCAAAUACUCCACAGUAUUUUUUUUCCUCUUACAGAUACAUUUACCCCAUAUACAUUUCACAUGUAAUUCCAUCAUGUCUAAUGCUUUUUAUUACCAGAGACUGGUAAUACCUGUUGAUUCUGUCUCUCCCAAUACUGUAUUUUUCAAAUUGGACAAUUGUGUUUUCCUAAAACUUGCAGAUCUUCAAAACAGUAGUUUCCUGGCAUAUGAAAACAUCCAACCAGUAUACCUAAUGAAAGCUGCCUUGCUGGAUGAAGUUAGGCACCUAAACCCUCCCAACUGCUGAACACCUUGCAAUUAGCACUAAAAAUCAUACACAAACUCCCCGGAAUUGCAAAGAUUGCCUGGGAAAGAUCAGUGAAUUAUUCAGCUACAGGAAUCCAAUUUUGAUUAUUAUGGCCACAUAUUUUAAGCAUCAAAUGACCGUGAUGUUCCUGAUGCAGACAAAUACACAUUGUCAUGUGCUCUUUAUAGUGGGAAAUUUCAGAAUAAGCUGCAGCCUCUUUGCUUGCCACACUUCCCAUGGAACAAUAUUACACUUGCCAAUAGGAAAUAAAAUUAUAAAAAGAAAACGUUAAAUUUGUUCUCCUUUCUCUGCUAACCAAGGCUCUACCUGCAUCACAAGAAGUGCUCUGAAGACUGUGACAACACUAAGCAGUUACAUUCUUCUUCCUACAGAAGGAUAAAGGCCACAUGUUAACUGCAGAAGGACACUGCUGGGAUAACAUUUCCCCAAAUCCCUUUCUUAUGUUGUAUAACUAGGAUUAACUUUAGUCUCUGUCAUCCCCUGACAUUCCAACAGAAAAUAAUGCAGCUGGUAACAGUUCACUAUGGAAAUGAAAAUUCCCAAUAAAGUUUUUGACAUUUUAAGAGUCUAUCUGAAUGGAGAGCAAAUCAAUUUGUGCUACAUAAUAAUUUGUAUAACAAUAUAACCCGCUCAUCUCUUGGCACCACAGCUGUACACAAAAGGUGGCGUAGAAGAGCUGCUUCAUUUUCCCCAGAAAUUCAGUUUACACUUACUCAAGCAAGGUGCAUGUUUUUCCUGUUCAUAACUCCAUCACCAUGCAUGCAACUCAAAAACUCUUGCUCGCUUUUCCCCCCAGGGAAAUUGAUUUGUUGUGAUACAAGAAAUUAAGUUGCUGACACACUAGCUUUUUUUUGCGUUGUUUUUAAAUCAGCAACAUCAGGAGGCAGGAAUGGAAGACUGUGUUUUGGAAAGUGAAUGAUGACAAAAUUUGAAUAUGAAGGUAACAUCAUGACCCAGCAGCAUUGCUCAGUGCUCCUUUUAUCUAUCCUAGGACCAAAACCACCUCUCCAUACACACACAGACUAGCAAAAAACUUGCACACUGCAUAUGUUUGGUCUUUUCUCCCAUUUUUGAGCAGAGAAAGUGGCUGGCAUGCCCACUGUUGAGCCUCCUGAACACUGGCAUGGCAUUUCUUGGACCAUAAAAGGAGGUUUGAAGGAGCCAGUCCAAGAAAGAAACUUUAUACUGGGGGUCUUUCAGAUAACUAUCCUGUAAGUCUGCUUUGUUAUAGUCCAAAAUUAAAAAUAGCAGUGGAAAUGAGGGUUUAUGCUACUGGGACUUUAAGAGAUUUCUCUUUGAACCUAAAAACUUUACUAAGAAGUCCGGGAGAGUUUUAGUAGCUCGAGGAAGGGAAAUGCCAGCAGCUUUCUUGUAUUACCAAUAAAAGUGUCACUCCUGGCCCUUUCUAGUACAAAAUUUGCCCCACCUUACUCAGUCCAUGCUGUCAAGAGACAAUAUCAUCACAAGUUUGGUUCUUCCACAUCUAAUUUAAUGCAAUGCUAGUGUUUCACAAAUUUUUUCGGUCCCAGUGGACUUAAAAGUCAGUCACAUUUGUAACACAGAUUUAUCUUUUACUGUAACUGAAGAAAUUUUCAAUCAGUAUUCAAUUUAGAAACACUUAAAAACAAGGCUUCUUGGAUUAUAACAUUUCUACGUUCCUUCUCCCUCUCUAAAUGAGCCAUUCAGUCAGCUGAGAGAGUGCAUGAGAGACUGAAAACACAUCACAACACCUCAGAUACAUCUCAGUACAUUGCAAAUUGUAUGACUAAAUGGAAUGAUUUUCCACAGUUCAAUGCAUGGGCAAGGCUUGACAAUCAUUAACUUCUGGAAAUUGUUAUUAGGAUAAUACAGUCAACUCACAAUACCCCACACAAAUGUCUGACAAUCAAAAUGGCUACACCAGGGGGAAAAAAAAGUGUAAAGCACAAGUCUUUGGCUCUCCUUUAACAAAAAACAGCAGUUUACCAUGUUUAUACAGAUCCCCUGUUUGCCUACCAGUAGGGGCAAUAUCACAUUUGUGCAUCACUGAGUAAUAACACCAUUAGAAAAGGCAACUUCACAGAAGUUAUUGGCUAAGCGAAUUCAUUUGAAUGCUCUGUUUUGAGGCAGCAAGCUGUCACUGUUACACAAUCAGGGAGGGUGGAUGGGCAAGCCACAGGAGAAAAAGACACAAAAAGGGGGGAGACAGCUCAGAAAAGACUACAGAGAGAAGAACUUGAGAAGAACAGGGAUAAAAGUGCUGCUAGCUUGAAAGGUGCUCUGAUUUACAGAAAAAAAGUCCUACUCUGAAAUAGGACAGCAUGCAAGAAGGGCAGAAGAAAAAGUUUAAACUUCUCCUAUUAAGAAAAAAGAACUAGGUCACAGGACAGACAGAUGAGAUGUUGACAGAAGGAGGGAAAUAACACCACAGAAUAAACAGACAUCAUCUAUAUACUGACUGAAUCACUGACACACUGAAGCUUAACCUACCACUUGAAGCUUCCUAUUUUGAAGGUUUGUCCAUGCUGUCCAUCUGGCUGAAACUCAAAUAUUAAGAGUUGUCUGGUGCAGCAGAAAAUUUAACCUACCUACCAAAGGAUGCAGCAGUGCCCUGACACCAUGGUAAUACUGCUUCUUCUUGCCCAACAGAAGGAACUAAACCACUUGGUAGCCAAGACCAAUUUCACUAGGUGGCCAGAAUUCCUGUACAACUGGGACAAUGAUGGGCUACAGGAGUGAGUGUAGCACGACACAGAGUCACUCCAGACAUUUUCAUGCUUGUUAGCUGUAAACAUCAAUGCUGCCACUACAUACAGAGCUAGCUGUCCCCCAGGGUCUCCCAGUUCUUCCACAAAACCGGAACAUUUUAGGUGCAGUUUCCAGAAAAAAAAGUUAAGAGUAUGCACUGCAUUUUGGUGUUUUAUUUGUUUAAUCAACUAAAGUUCUGCAAAAAAAGCAGAGAAAGGGUAAGAGGAAGAGAGGAUGAAACAAAGUUGAAAAUCAAUACUGUUAGUAGAUACUAAGUAAACUAUUUAACAAGCCUAACUAUAAUUUUGGGCAAACAGGGCAUUCACCUGGACACAUUGAUCACAACAAGGACACUAUGCACAAAGUACAGCACAGAGAGCUGGAUGAAGGAGAAAAAAAACCCAGUAAGGUCCCCCUUCUAAUCCACAGAUUUUGGAAGCAUUUGUCAUAUGUAGGCCAGCAAUCUAAAUAGUGCUUACUGAAGAAUUCCAGGAGAAAAUGUGUAGAAUAGAAUAAUCCCUAACCUGGUGAGGGAACUAGGAAAUAAAAGGUAAAGAGGUUUUUGGCCCUCUAGAUUUUCUUCCUAGUAUUACAAAUGAACCUGUAGUGUCCAACCUAUCAUAACCAUCUUGGAAAAUUAAUUUUACAUCCACAAUUACUACAGUCAAAAAAGGCACAUUCUGGGCUUGUCCUCCUAGAUUAGAAUAUUGCACUAAUUAUCUUGACUAAGAUGAGCUCCCUGUGAUAAUAAAGACACAGCAGGAAGGAGCUAAACUAAUUUUAAUUAGCAAACUAAUUAAAAUUAAGGGAAAGGAUGACCUGAGGGUGGUGCUCUGCACUGAAGGAUGAGAGGGCCCAGGCCCUAUGUCAGGUGACUUGGAAGCAGGCAGCCAGGAAAAGACCUUCAUCCUGCUCAUGCCCAGAGCUGAGAAGGGAGGAACAGACCUGAUGGGCUCCCAGCUGCAUCACCCCAGCUCUGCUCAGCUCCAAGGGGAGUGGCUGGAAUGCUUGGCUUCAAGUAGGAGAUACAGAUGGAUAGGGGCAAGGGGAGAUGAAGCUGUUUCAGUGCAAAGUUGAUUCUUUGCCAAAAGUUAAAACAAGCAUUAGAAAAAAGCAAGCUUCAAACUACUCCAGGCAAUUAAGAGGCCAAAGUUCAACUAAGAGUGAAAUAAACCCGUGUUAAGACACAUGGAAAGUGUGGGGGGGUGUGCUAAAAAAUGCUUUUAUUUUCAUUCAGUGCUUCUACCUCCCAGACAUUUGAUCACAACAGCUGCGCUCAUGCGAAAAAAUUCUUAAAACAUACCCAAUAUAUAUACAGAUAUAACUAUGUAUAUAUGUAUAUAUAUAUAUUUAUAUAUAAAUUUUUAUUUAAAUAAAAAAGAAAGCUCGAAUCCCAAGCCAAUAUGUGUAUCAAAUCCUUGACCAGCCAGGUCUGUAGGGCAUAAUCAAAUUCAAUGUGAAAUAGUAUAUAAACGCGGUGCCUUGACUGGGCAAAUUAAAUAAUUGCUACUCAAAAGAGUCUUCUGUUUGGACUCUCCUACUGGUAGGCAAUAGUGAGACUGUAUCCCCUCCCACCCCCCUGUUGUUUUAUUUAACAGUAUGAUGAAUGCAAAGCUUAGCCCAAGGUUGCUAUAACCUCAGCAGGAGUUAAGGUUAAGGAAAAAAAAAACUAAAACCCAAGAAAAUUUAUUAACUCUUGCUUUACCCAACCAAAGCAAUGCAGUAAUUUAUUACAUAACCAGUGCUUUCCCACUUAGUAGUCUAACCCAGGAAGAAAAAAUGAGGACACAGGCCAAGAAGGUAGAGAGGGAGCAGCACUUGAAAAAUCACUCUCAAGAGGUCUUCAUAUCCAGGAUCUUACCUCAGCAUAUGCCAAAAAA